UGAAAAUGCACACAGCUGCUAUUUUUUACUUGAAAAAUUACGUGUUUAUACACUUGUCAGAGAACUUGCACAAAUUGGGUAUUUCAGAUUCGUGCCACCAAAGCCACCUUAUGGACUUUUCGGAACUCUUUACUCCACCUGUCACUGAAAGCAGCAUUUUUUGUUGCAGUUACAGCUGUGAGAAAAUUGAGUUGCAGGCUUCAACUGUAGCUCCUAACUUUAUGGCAUUUGACAAGGAUGCUCUGCGCAUUCUCAUCCAGGUUUUGGGUUUUUUUGCAUCUAAAUAACAUUUGAGUCCUGUCUGAAAACGGAUUAUUAGUCUUCAAGUUUUAUUCUCAAAACCUCAUUCCAGCUUCUAUAUUGUAGAAGUUAAAAGGGCCUUGAGGCUUGAAAAUAAACUAGAUUAUUCAUUGGAGCAUGUGCUUUGUCUGCAUUGUCAGUCUUUGUUUGCUUUCCUAUGGUUAUUCAAUUUCCCAUGGCUUGUCUCUGCAAUAAUUCCAUACUAUUAAUCUUCUGGUCUAGUAGCUGGGUUUUGUCACAUGUUUACUGAGAACUACUAUGCCAUCUAGAUCUAAUUUGAAGAACAGUUCUAUCAUUUUUGUUUUAAUUAAAACUUCUCAGCUCAUCAUCUUUUGGUUUGCACUGUUUACUAGACUUCCACAAGUAAAAACAUGAAGCAGCUAGGAUGUGUAGCAGUAACUCUGAUUCUUCAAACUGUUACAUCUGUGGGUUCAGAUUAUACAGUCACUUCCACUUAUCCAGACUUGUAAAGACCUUGGGGGCCAGCAAAGUGAACUGAGGCGGUUCUUCUUAUAUAACCUCAACUGGAGUUCCACAGUGUUGGGAGAGGUGGGGGGAAAUGGUUGUGUCCUGCAAGAUUAUAAAUGGUCAGAGGUCAUGUUCUAGUAGAAUGUUAUUGGUAAAUGCUAUUUAAGGAAAAAGAAUCAUCAAAAGGAAUGGGUAAGGGCAGUUAAUAAAUAGACAACAGUUAAAAUGAGAGGUAUUAGAGUAGGUGUGGCCUGUUUAUUGGCUACAACUUUAACGUAUGUGGUUUUUAUGACAUGCAUGUUCUUACUGUGAUUGCUCAUUGUGCAGGCUGAAUCCCUUAGCCUUGUUUUUUAUCUUGUUUUUUCUCCUCUUAAUUGUGCGGGAAGAAAGGACCUUUCUGAAACCUAUGCCUCCUUCCACCACACUUACGAAACAUCUUGCAUCCUCCUUUGUGUUUCCCUAGUGGUUAAAUAUGUGCCAGGCAUCUCUUGGACUAGAGGUUUUAAGCAGGUCUGAAUACUAAGUCAGCCUGAAACAAUUCAGCCUGCUGUAGUUAAGUUUCAAUACAUGGACAGUGUAAUAAAAGAAGCUGCUUCAUAUUGUCUACUUAUUCCAGUCCACAAGCACACCAGUUUAAGUGACAUCACAUUUCACCCCACUGCACGAAAGUUAGCUUGGCCAAGAGAUUUUGCCCAAAUGGUAGAACCAUACAUGGAGCUCAGUUAUGAGCUCAGCUUGCACUGCAGGCAGCUUCUUUUGUGAUUUCUGAGCAUUGCAAAUGUUACUGGGAUGUCUUGAAAGAGGUUCUUUCAUGAUUGUGUUGCCUGCUAUAUUCAUAUAUUUGGGCACAAAUGUCACAGAAUGAGGAGGAAAUCCAAGCACAACUGACCAGUGGAAAUAAGUGCUUUUGUGUACAAUUGAUCAUUCAAGUGCAUAGUAUAAGAUGGGCUUGGAAGAUAUGCUGCAAUAAAAUAAAAAGACUCAGUCACAUUGUAAUACCAAUGACAGCAUCAGAAAGUUCAAGUUUCCCGUUCUUACAAGAUUCUGGGCAGAACCCUAAAAUUUUGCUUCAUUUACACUGAUAUAUUUAUGAACUGUUUUUUAAAAACAAAAUAAAAAGUGACUUGUGGCAUGAUUAUCUGGGAGAAGAUGGGGGUCAAAGAACCUGGCUAAGUUGCCUUGGUAAGAGGAUCUGUCUGCUGGAUGGAGGCCUAGCUCUCAAGAUGCUCUGUUUCAACAUGAGGAACUAGGAUCUGUGGAUGACCAUCUUUAUGCAGCAGAAUGUGUUGUCCAGCUGUGCGUGCCAUCUAGACUCCAACUUGGAAGAAGAAAAUCUGAGAUUAUCAAAUCACAGAAAAAUGGGAACUGAGAAUUUGAAUGAAUUCGCAACUUUGAGGAAUAAAACAUGAGGGCAACCUUGGACAUACCCGAGACCAGAAACAGUUCUGGCAGGAGAACAAAGAACUUCCUGGAAAAAUACAUCUCUUAGGAAUGGACAGAGGGCCGAGUUCCAGCUGCUGUUGUUAAAGUCCACUUAAAGGCACAGAGGAAGCUGGCUGCUGCUUCAUCUCCACAGUUGGACCCUGCUCCUCCGCUGCCCCACACUGGCUACUAUUAUGUCCUCAACAAAGUGCAGGAUACAAAUUUUUGGAUUGAGUUGCUCUUCAGCUCACUCUUGAGCAUUCUCCAUAUUCUCUAUUUUGGGAGUUGGCAAACUAUAGCCUGCAAAGAAAUCCAAUCCAGCACAGGGGAUUGAUCUCAUGAAGCUGCCCUGUGCUGCCUCUGUUCCUCAGUGCUCACUUUAUUUGCAGAGGUUGCUAUUUUGCAUUGUCUCAGUUUACCCUUGUUGCAGAAGUGCUGGGAAUCUGGCAGCCAGCUGCUUUGAGGAAGGGAAGGGUAGAGACUUCCAGCCCUCAGUGAUGUCCAGACAAAAGAUUUUUUCAUCUCCGUUCUGUUUCUAAAGAGGGAAAGUUAUUUCUGCAACUGGAUGCUUAUAAUCUUUUUUUUUUUAAAUGGCUUUGUGUUUUUGUGGAUCAGUGAUGUUUAAUAUAAAAAGAUACUGUAUUUAUUGUAACAAAUCAAUAAAGCUUAAUAGCAUAAACUGUGCCAACCUAAAAAAAGUUGCGUUAUCUCUUUCUUUAUUGCUCGCUGUACAAAGUUAUACUAAAAAAAUUAAAAUUCAAACAAAGCA